rnacentral:rRNA from 1 species
GACGAACGCUGGCGGCGUGCUUAACACAUGCAAGUCGAACGGAAAGGCCCUGCUUUUGUGGGGUGCUCGAGUGGCGAACGGGUGAGUAACACGUGAGUAACCUGCCCUUGACUUUGGGAUAACUUCAGGAAACUGGGGCUAAUAUCGGAUAGGAGCUCCUGCUGCAUGGUGGGGGUUGGAAAGUUUCGGCGGUUGGGGAUGGACGCGCGGCUUAUCAGCUUGUUGGUGGGGUAGUGGCUUACCAAGGCUUUGACGGGUAGCCGGCCUGAGAGGGUGACCGGGCACAUUGGGACUGCGGUACGGCCCAGUCUCCUACGGGAGGCAGCAGUGGGAAAUAUUGCACAAUGGGCGGAAGCCUGAUGCAGCAACGCCGCGGGCGUGAUGACGGCCUGCGGGUUGUGAACCGCUUUCGCCUGUGACGAAGCGUGAGUGACGGUAAUGGGUAAAGAAGCACCGGCUAACUACGUG